AGGUUGCCUGCUGACGGGGUGAGGCUUGGCAAAGCUCACGCCAAGUGAUCAGAAUGUGGUCUUUGCUUCAUCUAUGUAGGCAAGGAUAGAUCUUUGGGGUGUGUGUGUGUGUGUGUGUGUGUGUGUAGGGGGUAAAAAUUCCAGAGCCCACUUCCGUACCUCUUUUGUACAUUAACUCCCAAAUCUAUGACUCCAGUCUAGAUCUUUCUCCCGUGCUUCUGAUUCUCCUUUUCCACAGAAUCUCCUCCUGUAAUCCCUGUUUCCAUCAAUGGACCAACCAGCUUCUAAGCUAGACUCAAUUUAUAUCCUCCCACCCCCACACAACCAAAACCUCAAUUAUAAAAUUAAACACAAAACCUUUGACAGUUCUAAUACUAGCAGAAAGGGACAGGAGAGUGUGGGUUAGGAGACCUAUAUUUUUCUUUAGAAAAAAUAUACUGGAAAACAAUAUCUAAUAAUUGAAACGUUGAAUUAAUACUCUUUGUCCUAAUAGGAGGAAAAGGUUUCACUUGCAACUUUUAUGGGAUGAAACCCAUCAAAAUUCUUUUCCUGUCAUUUACUAAUAUUUCCAGUAGUCAAAAUAACGUGGCCGUAUUCAAGACAUGAAAAAGGAACAUAUUGUCCUAAAAAUAAGCGCAGGUGGGGAGCACAUAUUUGGGCAAUCUGCUGCAGGUAUGUAUGUUAUCUCCUUUAGGGCAAGGUAAAAAAAAAAAAAAUCAGCAUGUGUAAUUUUUUAAAAAGCAUGCUAUUCUCUGCAUUUAAACUCAGAACGUUUAAAAGCAACGGAUGACCCAUCUGUGAAUGCUCCUGAAGAAACCAGUCAAGAUAGGAGGUGAAUCUACGUGCUGGCAGCUGUCGAGAUUGGUUGGAGGGAAGUCUCUAAGACAUCAUGAGUACCUGGGGUCCUGGCAGUGCAGACGAGGCCUCCUAAUCACGGAAUCCCACAUUAUCCGUGACUGGAGGUACAGGAUGCUCCUGUGGCAAGAUCAGCAGAGGCUCCUUCCCAGAAAAGACAAAGCGAUCGAAACUGAGAAAAAAAUAUUCAAGUGUG